CAUCACUACGCUAGAUGCAUAUCAAUAAGCGGAGGAAAAGAAACUAACAUAGGAUUCCCUUAGUAACGGCGAGUGAAGCGGGAAGAGCUCAAAUUUGAAAUCUUCAAGGUUCUACCUUGACGAAUUGUAGUUUAUAGAAGUGUUUUCUGUUAGUAGGAGUGGCAAAAGUUCUUUGGAAUAGGACAUCAUAGAGGGUGAGAAUCCCGUAUUUGGUCAUUCUUUCUAGCUUUGUGAUACACUUUCAACGAGUCGGAUUGUUUGGGAAUGCAGUCCAAAAUGGGUGGUAAAUUUCAUCUAAAGCUAAAUAUUGGCGAGAGACCGAUAGCGAACAAGUACCGUGAGGGAAAGAUGAAAAGAACUUUGAAAAGAGAGUUAAACAGUACGUGAAAUUGUCAAAAGGGAAGCGUUUGACACCAGUGUUGUUUAGUUGAAAAUCAAUUCAAUAAUUUUUGAUUUUGAGUAGUAUUGACUUCAUCAGCUUGCUGCUUUCUUUUCGGAAAUUAUUGAAUGCACUUCUCAGUUAACAAGUCAACAUCAAUUUCUUUUGUUGUAAAAGGGUAAGAGGAAGGUGGCUUACGCUUCGGCGUAAGUGUUUAUAGCCUUUUACCUCUGCAAUCGGAGAGAUUGAGGACAGCAGCGUAGACUCUUCGGGGUUAGAUACACUUGUGCUAAGCUAUAGCCUUGUAUAGACAACUUGUUGACUAUGCUCAGUCAUGUAGCUUACUCGCUUGUGCUAUUUUACCUACGCUUAGGAUGUUGACACACGCGCGUGCUCG
rnacentral:rRNA from 1 species